UCCCCGUUGCCGAGGCAGUCUCGCAAGAUAAUACAACUUGCGACGAGGGUUGCGCUCGUUAAGGGACUUAACCCUACAUCUCACGACACGAGCUGACGACGGCCAUGCAUCACCUGUCACCGAUCCAGCCGAACUGACUCCCGACUUUCGUCGGGAUACGAUCGGGAUGUCAAGUCUUGGUAAGGUUCUUCGCGUAUCAUCGAAUUAAACCACACGCUCCACCGCUUGUGCGGGUCCCCGUCAAUUCCUUUGAGUUUUAAGCUUGCGCUCGUACUCCCCAGGCGGGAUGCUUAACGCGUUAGCUUCGCUACCGAGCGGGUCGAUACGCCCAACAGCUAGCAUCCAACGUUUACGGCGUGGACUAC
rnacentral:misc_RNA from 1 species